ACCUUUGCUCUGCUCUUGCCACACUGCAGCACCUAGCCCUGGGCAUGACUGAAGCUGGGAACCAAAAGCUGGCCAGCACAGAGCCCAAAAUACCCAACGACAUCCAUGACACAAUCUCAGAAGAGCCUGUACCAUCUUAUAAAUUGUCUGUGCAGUGGGAUCUGUCAGGAGGAAGCACAGCCUGCCUCCAUGGAGACGACAAAGUUUGGGACUGAAGCAGUGAGAGGCACAGGAUCAUCAUGGAGCAGUGCUGUGAGCUUUGAUAAUAAACUGACCCUGCAGAAGAGAGAAGAAGGAAGGAGAGGGUUCCUGCUGCCCUGGGCAUGGUGCAGGUAGCCCAGGGCAACUAUCACUAAGAGACAUCAAUGUUUUUUCCAUCUGAGUGCUAAGCUUUAUAAACACAAUAAAGUAUCAUGCAGAGGACUGCUUA